UACGAGGGAUCCUAGCGUUGUUCGGAAUCAUUGGGCGUAAAGAGUAUGUAGGCGGCCUAGUAAGUCAGUUGUGAAAGCCCCGGGCUCAACCCGGGAAGUGCAAUUGAUACUGCUUGGCUGAAUGUGGAAGAGGGCAGUAGAAUUCCAGGUGUAGUGGUGAAAUACGUAGAUAUCUGGAGGAAUACCGGUGGCGAAGGCGGCUGCCUGGUCCUACAUUGACGCUAAGAUACGAAAGCGUGGGGAGCAAACAGG
rnacentral:rRNA from 1 species